rnacentral:lncRNA from 1 species
GUGCCUGCAGCACGGGCGCCCUAGAAAGGGAAACCUGUUUUCCUCCUCCCAGGUUUCUGGUUUCUCCACCUAGUCUCCCCACAGUCCUUCACUGCCCGCACCCAGAGUCCUUCCGGCCUCUACCCAGACUCUGAGAAGUGGCCCGACAUUCCAGGUAACCUGAUUCCCCAGACGGGAUAGGCGGCGGCCUGCUGCUGCGAAGGCGCGACCACGUGACCUUUCCUGCCUGCACCGGGGAAAUGCAUACCUUGUUCAGAAAACUAGGGGACAGGUCUCUUGAGGAAGGACAUGGAUUUCCCAAGACAUAUCUGACCACUACACAUCUCUGUUCAAAAGAAUACAGACAUCCAUCUGCAAAAGAUCAUGGCCUUAAAAUUGGUUUAAAGCAUGUAUUACUUCCUGCCAGUUCCUGUACGUGCUCGUGAUUGGGGGACAAGAUUAACUGCAUCCUGCCUCCUAUAUCUAUAACAUCAGGCCUUUGACAUUUGUGGAGAUAACAUUGGCAGUUUCAUCUGUUCAUAAGGCAUCCUAAAGAUCCAUGAUAUUAUAAUUUGCAAUAUCCCUGGUGCCCAAAACUGAAAUUUCAUCUUGUGUGUGGGAGCAAGCCCUUGUGCAGUGAAUAAACUACCCAGCCACCUUAGUGGUCACACCUCAGCAUGACUGUUGUUCUUCACACAUCCUGGUAGAUGCAGCCAGUAACUCUGGUGGAGUGAUCAACAGUUGGUUCCUUUGUGAAAAGUGACCUCUAAACAAAGUCACUUGAGACUUUCUUUGAUAGAAAUGACAAAUGAAGGCCUAAGAUAUGAAAGUUCUUAGUGAGAAAAUAUUUUUAUACACUUUUAAAUUCUGUGUUUUAAAUUUCAUUAAAAUAGGCCUAAGGCUGGGCACAGUGGCUCACACCUAUAAUCCCAGUGCUUUGGGAGGCCAAAGCAGGAGGAUAGCUUGAGCCCAGGAGGUUGAGACCAGCUUGGGCAACAUAGUGAGACCCCAUCUCUGCAAAAAAUAAGAUGUAGCCAGGCAUGGUGGCGAGUGCCUAUAGUUUCAGCUACUUGGGAGGCUGAGGUAGGAGGAUUGCUUGAG